UGCACUGCAACUUUUGUCAUUCAUAUUCCAUUUCUCCUAAAUAAAUCAGUUAUUUAAAUCUAAUUUCUAUUUAUUUGUUAAGCAUUUAUACUUGCAGAAAUUGGCCUUCAUCUUCCACAGUGAUAACAUGAUUGUGAUUAUAGUCAAUAAUAAAUAGAUUUUGGCUAACUUCUCUCCAAUACAGACGUCUUAGAAAUUAAAAAAAAAAAUGCUUUUCUAUCGUAAUCUUAUAAAUAUCCUUCUGAUUUGCUUGUACUUUUUCUAAGUAUGCUACCACUAUCCUGUAAUAGUAAACUAUAAAAUGUUGAGAUUCCAAAGAGCUGCCUACAAACCAAAUGGCACCCUUGCCUUGACAGGCUGAGCCCUUCAUUUGGGCUUCUCUCACCCCCUCUAGCGUUUGCGAAGCUCAUCUGCCUGAUUAUCCAGUUACCUCACUGAACAAGAGCUGGGCUAAGUCCUGCCCAUCUAUGACAUCACCCCCGUCUUCCACCACUGCGAGAUGAAGCUUUAAACUUCAGACUUGGAGGUGGGCUGCCCGCAGUAAAUGGAACGCUCUCCCUCGCUCUCUCCUCAGCACCGGAGUGAUCUGAAGCCGGACAAGCUCAGGCUGCAGCUGCUGUUGGCUUUGUGUGGACUAGACGCAGCGUUUGGGAGACGGGGGAGGGUUAUUACUCCAAUCCACAGUCAAUGGAAUUAUAGCUAUCGCAGCAGUGUAUAUAGGAUUGUUUUUCUCGUCUUCCUGGACGUGCUCAAUCCCAGUGUGUUUUAAGGGAGAGAAAUAUGAAGGAAAUUUAGAAUGCUUCCUUUUCUUCCCAUGAAGACUAUUUGAAUUGUUUUCUUUACUUCUUAAAAGAGAACACCUGUUCUUGUAUAAAGUGACUGCACCAGAAAUUCUAAGAAAGCAGCAAGAAGCAAAAGCUGGAAAUAGCUGUUUCACAGCAGGUAAUCAUACCUCAGGAUGUAGCUACUGUACAAAGUUUAUACUUGGAUAAUCCUGGAUGGGAAUAAAGGUAGGGGGUAACUGCCUGACAAACCUAUUACUAUACAGGCCUUAGCAUCAUGAAUGGCUUUCUUCACGAGGAUCUGAAGUUACUAUCUCUGACCACAUUGUACAGAAGAGCCAGUAAGAAUCUCAAAGAGGGCAAUUUCCACUAAGGGAAUUAAGCUACACAAAAGGAACCUUCACACAGAAACUCUAUCAGAAAAAGAAAACAAAACAAAACUAAACUAAACAUAGGAAGCCAUGUGUCCUACAUAGUAACAGGAAGCUGAAUUGUUUCUGACCCCCACUUUAAUGAGCUUGCCCACCAUGCUGAACUGCAGCUGGAAUGUUCAUUGACAACAGCAACCCUGAUCUGGAGGUGUGUGCGGCAUAGGAUUACUUGAAUAAACAGUGAAGAACAUUUCCAAGGACUAAAUGAGAGUUUAUAAGUCCCAGCCCCUCACCAGGAAAAUAAUAUAUGUGCAUUGGACUUUCACCCAAGCAAAAUUCACUCACAUCGUUCAAUAAGGUAGGAAAAAAUUAAAGUAUUUUAUUUUCAUGCCUAAAAUUACAAAGGUAUUUUAGGUAUUUUAGGCAUACCUAAACUUGCAGAAGAGAUUAUAUAACACAAGAGAUCUAUAUAAAUCUGUAAUUCUUCAGCCCAUGGGGAAAAUUGAAUCAUGUUCUAGGUUAGAAUUUGAAGGAAAAUAAAUGCACUGUGAAAACAGGUUGUAAGAUAUAAAAUAAUGAAAAAAUGUGGACAGUCAUUAAACCAUGCAGUAUAAAACACAGAACAAAAAUGGGGACAGAAGAAACAAAUAGCUUAACAUGAAAUGGAAUUUUCCACUUAGAUUAGCUGGAUCAUAUUAGCUGUAUAAUUCUUUCCCUNNNNNNNNNNNNNNNNNNNNNNNNNNNNNNNNNNNNNNNNNNNNNNNNNNAAAUAAAAGACUUCCUAUUUUCCUGCAAAAAUACCUUUUAAUCAUUUAAUAUUAAUAAUAAGAAAAAUAAAAUUAAUAAUCACAGAAAAUUAUUGGUUCUACUGAUAUCGAGGAUCUCAAGAUAUAUGCAACUAUUCUUGAAUAGUAAAAGCAGAAUUUUUUUAUUAUGUAUUUCUAUACCUGUAUAGU
rnacentral:lncRNA from 1 species